rnacentral:tRNA from 1 species
GGGGAUGUAGCUCAGUGGUAGAGUGCUUGCCUAGCAUGUGUGAGGCUCCGGAUUCCAUCCCCA